GGGCGAAUGGUUUAGUGGUACAAUACUCCCUUAGCAUAACUUCACUUGAGGAGUUAACAUCCUCAAUAGCCACUGCAGCAAUUGGUAGUGGACCAGUGUUCGAUUCCCUGUUCGUCCA